CACGAAAACCUCUAAUUCAAUAAAUAAUUUUUCUCUUUUUAAUUCAGAACGCAUGCCAUCAUUUAAAAAUGGAAGUCCACAAGACAACGCAGCUGCAAUACUAAGCUACAGCGCGACGUGCGAUUUGGUCAACGAACGCUGCUUUCCUUCCCCUGCUGAACUCAUUCGUGCCGCCAGUCCUCGCGCUCCGGCCGAGGUGGGAGCCGGCGACACCGGGGCGGGGACUGGACGCGCACCGAGAAGGCGGCCUCCGAUUGUCGCCCGCCCCGCGGGAGCGCCCACCUAGCCCCCGGGACCCUGAGGACGGAGGUCUCGCUGCCACAAAAUGGCGCUGAGGGAGGAAGCGAGGUCCCGUCGCCCCACCCCCUUCCCGCUCCUCCCGCCGCCCCGCCCCGCGACGCCGCCGGCGCCCGCCCGCUUAUCCGCCCCGCCCGCUUCUCCGCCCCGCCAUGUUAGCGCCCGGCCCACUCACCGACCAGUUGUCUCACGGACGCGGCCACAGCUUCCCGCCCGCCGGGCCCAGCCGCGGGGAGGAAAGGCGAAAGGAGGGCGCCCGCUGAGGGCCUCGAGUCGCUACAGGAGGAGCUGCGCCUGGUGGCACGCCCCGCAGCCGCUGAAGCGCUGCGACCUCGGCGGGGGCGGGGAGGGAAGCGGGCCUCAGGGAGUGGUGAGCCGCGAGGUCGCAGGUCAGCCGCGGGGCAUCACGGGAAGGGCGGCGGGGGUCGCGAUUGGCGGCGCCGGGUGGACGCGCUCCCCGGGCGGACAAGCUCGCCGGGCCACCUGCGGCUGCGGCGCUGCCUCUGGCGGAGGAAUCUGGGCGAAGGCGGCGUGUGAUUGGCUGUCCUUUGGUACAGCACCCAUCUGUGAUGCUUCCGCGCGCUGUCGGCAAGGUGCAACCUUAGGAGCGACGCCGUGGGCGGGGAGUGCGAGCAAUUGAGGCUUCGUGAGCCCUUGCUGUUUGAAGUUCUGAGAGUUUGGAAACCGAUGCUCUUUCUUCCGUCAGGAAGUGCUGCUUCCUGGACGCUUGGUUCGUCCCCGCCUUGAAAUCUCGAGGUGAAACCGGGGAGCUAUUGUCUAGUACGUGGAGGUUUUACCUAUGUCAGCAGCUCUAGGGGCACCUUGCUAACGCAGAAGCGAGGGGAAGGCGAACCUUGUGAGGUUUUAAUGGAACCGAUAAUAUAAGGUUUUUAAUUCGAAUAUACGCCCUUACGCAAGGCUGUGUGUCAUCCGGACCGUCGCGUAAGACCGAUGGUGUUACCUGGUAGACGUGAAACAAGUCUCAUACUUCCUACAGGGGUCAGGUAAUCUUUUGAUUGGGCUGCCCUUAUCCAAUUUUACCAAAACCGUUUAUCCCCAAAGGAGGUGUUCUGGAAUGAGGUGAUUUAUGGGGAUGAGAUUAAACUAUACUCCAGAUGGUCAAAGACCAAAAUCCGAAGAGAAAAAUGGGCAAGGACAUGAACAGACAUUUCACACAAAAGACCAGCAAUGGUCCGAAGCGUAGAAGUCUGUUCGUCCUCACUUAUAAUGGAAAUGCACAUUGAAAUUACACGGCAGUGGAGAAACAGUGCUCGUAAAUUUCCUGGUGGGAAUGGGAAAAUGAUUCAGGCCCUGUGGAGUACCAAAAUUAUAUAUGCACUUAUUCUUACGUCUUGCAAUUUCACUUCUAACCCUAACCUUAUUCUGAAAAUACACCUUCACUUAUAGAAGCAACAUGUAGGCAGGGUUACUUGUUGUAGUGUCAUAGCAAAAGUUAUGAAAUAACUCAAAUGUCCAUUAAUAGGGAACUGGUUAGACACCGUACAUCCAUAACAUGAAAUACAAUGCAACCCCCCCCCAAAAAAAGAAUGAGGAUGCUGUUUAUAUGUUGCUUUGAAAUGCGUCCCAGGCUAUGUGGAAAAUUGGAAGCAUAUCCUAGAAACAAUAAAAAUGGUUACCUAUAGAGAGUGGUGGGGAAAGGUGGAGGCGAAAGAAAUAAAAGCAAGACUUCUCUGACUUUGAACUUUUGAAGUUUUAUAUAGCCAAAAAGUACAUUGAAAAGGAAACAAACCCAAAGUUGAUAGCAAAUUAAAAUAAACUUAACUGUAAGUCACAUUGGUAAUGCAACUAUCUGGUUACACAGAGAAAGGAAUUAAUUCCCCAGGGCUUUUGGACAUAGUACUCUAAGAGAAUUAUCUGUGGUGAGAUAUAUUCUAAGGUUGAGAAAGAACUGCAAAGGAAUCUUCAGCUUCGCUCAGUGGUUUAUAAUUAAUGGUAAUUUUGUUGCUGUGGUUUGAAAGUAUGUAUAUUGUAGGAUAAUACAAACAUUUUCUUUUUUUUUUUUUUUUUUUUUGCGGUACGCGGGCCUCUCACUGUUGUGGCCUCUCACGUUGCGGAGCACAGGCUCCGGACGCGCAGGCUCAGAGGCCAUGGCUCACGGGCCCAGCCGCUCCGCGGCAUGUGGGAUCUUCCCGGACCGGGGCACGAACCCGUGUCCCCUGCAUCGGCAGGCGGACUCUCAACCACUGCGCCACCAGGGAAGCCCUAUUUUCAUUUUUAAUGUACAAGACUUUAAGUGUAAGAGAAAAUGAUGUACAAAUAUAAGAUCAAGGAAGUUCAGAAAAAACCUGUACUACAUUUAAAUUGGAUAUAUCAAUUUGAGCAUAUGAUUUAAAAAGUAUAUUUACUGCUUCUGUGCACCGAAAGGGCCUAGAAGCACUAGGAUGAUGACCAAUUGUCCCAGUUUCCCCGGGACUGAGGGGAUUUCCCCAGAUGCUGCACUUUGUGUUAAAACUGAAAGUGUCCCAGGCAAACAGGAUGGUUGGUCGCCUUACAGUAACAAUAAGCACAUUUGCCAUGCCUUGGUUUCUAAAUUCCAUUUCCACUAAAUAGAACCAGAGCUCCUUGGAGAAUUGGCUGAUUCCUGUUCUUGAGCAGAGAACGUGCAAGAUGAAUCAGACAUUUUGUUGUGCCUGAAUGUAAAGGUAGUGCUUAGGUUAAUAAAGAUAGGUCAACAGGACUUAGGAGAAUAGGCAAAACUUAUCUAUAGGGAUAGAAGUCAAAUCUGGGCUUGGCUAGGAGUGGAAAACAGCAGGAAUCGGUUGGAAAGGAACAUGGGGGAACUUUUUGGGUUGACGAAAAUAUUGUAAAUCAUGAUUAGAAUGGUGGUUACCCAGUACAUACAUUCGUCAGUAUUCAUCAAACCGUACCACUAAUGAGUGCGUUUAAUGUAAAUUAUACCUCAGAUUUGUUACACCUCAUAUAACUUUUACCCUCAUGUGUAUGUAAAUGAACCUCAGUAACGCAUGAAGACCAACCCAAUGAGAAAAGCAAAGGCUAUUUCUUCAGAGCUUGCUAUAGGAAGAGAGUCAACCAUGAUCACUUGCAUUUUGGCAGAGACUCAAAGGCAAGCAGAGGAGUGGGAAGGCUUCACAGUGGAAAAAAUAAGGGCUUCAGCUGUGCCCUGUUGGAGGCUGUUGGCACAGAGGAGCUGGAGGUGGCUAACAAAAAGCAAGGCAUUCUAUGCGGUUGGAUAGGGCUGCAUAUUCGGCUUUCUCUCGUUGGUUCCAAGUUGGAAGUGGGGACAAAAAUUAGAGAAGCAGUCAGAUUUUAAUCAAGUCCUGGCCGUUUUGAGCUGAUUGUUAUACUCAUUGUUUAUCUUCCUGGAUUGUUACUUGUGAUAGCAAUCUGACUUCCUCCAAGUGUGACUUACAGCAGGCUGGCUUCCGGGGCUCCUUAUAGCAGCUGAGGGGAUUGGUUUCCUGGGCACGCUGCUGCAGGUUGUGGGUCAGAAUUCUUGUUCCUUUUGUGGUCUGGCCAUGUCCUUUUGUAUAUUCAGUCUUCAGAAGUAAAUUUUUAUUUUUAUUUAUUUAUUUAUUUUGGCCAUGCCCCGUGGCAUGUGGGAUCUUAGCUCCCCAACCAGGGAUCAAACCCUCGCCCCCUGCAGUGGAAGCGUGGAGCCUUCACCACUGGACCCCCAGGGAAGUCCCCAGAAGUAAAUUUUUAAAAGACACAGGAACCAGCUUGAAGGGUCUCCCACAGGCCAAACUUAAGGCAAAUUUUAGCAUCAAAAAGCAAAUGACUACAAUUGACUAUAGAUACUGAAUAGUUAAAAAUCUGUGACUCUCCAGUUACACUUGAUGAGAGACGAAGGGGGACUGUUUUUCCAUCACUGGAAAUGGCUAUCACACCAGCUUCUUACUCUGAAAAUCAGUUAUUAAAAGGAAAAAUAUCGUUUGCUCUGCCUUCCUUAAAAAAGGAGAACUGUGGUUCACUCUGGGUGGUUGAGGAAAAACUCUUCUUUACAAUAGGGUGCUAGCGGGCUUCCCUGGUGGCGCAGUGGUUGAGAGUCCGCCUGCCGAUGCAGGGGACGCGGGUUCGUGCCCUGGUCCGGGAAGAUCCCACAUGCCGCGGAGCGGCUGAGCCUGCGCGUUCGCGUCCGGAGCCUGUGCUCCGCAACGGGAGAGGCCGCAACAGUGAGAGGCCCGCGUAACGCAAAAACAAACAAACAAAAAAACAAUAGGGUGCCAGCAAGUAAAUAUAGAAUAAAUGAUAUAAUUAGAAGGUAAUUAUUAUGCAAGUCCUAAAGAAAGAAUUGAUUCAGGCAAGGAUUAUUAAUGGACUUUAAAACCUUUAUGUGGGACUUCCCUGGGGGCACAGUGGUUAAGUAAUCCCCCUGUCAGUGCAGGGAACACGGGUUCCAGCCCUGGUCCGGGAAGAUCCCACAUGCCGCGGGGCAGCUAAGCCCAUGCACCACAACUACUGAGCCUGCGCUCUAGAGCCCGUGAGCCACAACUACUGAGCCUGCGUGCCACAGCUACUGAGCCCGCGUUCUAGAGCCCGUGCUCCACAACAGGAGAAGCCACCGCAAUGGGAAGCCCGCGCACCGCAACGAAGAGUAGCCCCUGCUCGCCGCAACUAGAGGAAGCCCGUGCGCAGCAACAAAGACCCAACGCAGCCAAAAAUAAAAAUAAAUAAGAUAAGUAAAUUUACUAAAAAAGAAAAAGCUAAUGGUGUUUAGUCUUCUUUGUCUUUGCAGACCACAAAGAACUCCACAGGUACUCUAAAAAAUUAUAUAUGAUUAGAUUUCUAUCAUAAUUUUACUAGUACUAUUUUUUAUAUAUUUAAAAAAAUUUUAUGUGUUUAUUUAUUAUUUAAUCAAUUUAUUUAUUUUUGGCUGCGUUGGGUCUUCGUUGCUGUGUGUGGGCUUUCUCUAGUUGUGGCGAGUGGGGGUUACUCUUCGAUACAGUGCACAGGCUUCUCAUUGCCGUGGCUUUUGCUGUGGAGCACGGGCUCUAGGUGUGCGGGCAUCAGUAGUUGCAGCACGUGGGCUCAGUAGUUGUGGUGCACGGGCUUAGUUGUACCGUGGCACGUGGGACCAGGGAUUGAACCCGUGUCCCCUACAUUGGCAGGUGGAUUCUUAACCACUGUGCCACCAGGGAAGUCCCACUAGUACUAUUUUUAAAAUGCUGUUUCAUUGUACCUAUCUCUUUGAAUAUAAGGCUGAACACUUUUCCAGGCUUUGCUUCCUUGUAUUGUUUUGAAUCAAUAUAUUUGUCAUAUGGGCUUCCCUAAUGGCGCAGUGGUUGAGAAUCCGCCUGCCAAUGCAGAGGACACGGGUUCGUGCCCCGGUUCGGGAAGAUCCCACAUGCCGCGGAGCGGCUGUGCCCGUGGGCCAUGGCCUCUGAGCCUGCGCGUCCGGAGCCUGUGCUCCGCAACGGGAGAGGCCACAACAGUGAGAGGCCCGCGUACCGCAAAAAAAAAAAAAAAAAUUGUCAUAUACCCAAGAGAUAUUCACUAGAUACCUGCCAUUAUUGUAUUAAGUACAGUCUUGAAAGAGAUUUUAUCUCCCAAAUAGUAGCUAUAUAUUUGGAUUUCAAUCAUUCUGAAUCCUUGGUGGUAGCAGGGAGCAGAGAUACUAGAGGUGUAGGGAACUCAGACUCACCUGUUCUUGGAAACAGGCUUGUCCAAUUACUAGGAAGUCCUUUCACUAGAAAAAAUAAAGGUGACCCUUGGAGAUAACUUCCGUGUCUUGAUCUCCAUUCCUUGUAAAUAACAGCGCUUUCUGAAAAGGAAUCAGUGUGCCAGCAUUGAGUAAGCAACACCAUCCCCCUUCCAACCUCCACCAGGGUACCAUGGCACAACUGCUGGGAGCCUCGUGCUUCUUGCUCUUGGUCCCCUCAUUGUGUUUGGGUCAUCAGCCCGUGAGGUGAAUUAUGGAUGCCAUGAGCCAGUGUUUCUUAGUAGGAAUGCUAUUGGUAUUUUGAGUAAGACAGAUCUUUUUGUGUGUGUAAAAGUGUACUGUGCAUCUUAGGACAUUUAACAUCCCUAGACUAACUCACUAAAUGCCAGUAGCCCCUUUCUUUUUGUGUGACAACCAAAAGUGCCCCCUCUAUAUUUCCAGUACCUCUGGAGGGGCAGGAUGCCCCUGCUGAGAACCCUAGUCAAUUGUGGGCAUUGUGGUCUUUACCAAAUAGUGGCGCCCGGUCUUCUCGCAGGCAGAAUUGGCCAGUUGACCAGUUCUGGCCAGGACCAGCGGAUAUCUCCUGGGGCUUCUGAGAAAGAGUUUCCUCCCUGACAAGAGACAUGCGCAUGAGGAGAAAGUGCUUUUUCCCCCCCUCCCUUCUUGUCUCUUAACUGGCUGGGAGGGGCUGUGAUCCUUGCAUCUGUAGAAACCAUCUUAUGACCAUGACUACCAGGUGGGAAAACAGAAGCCAGCCAGCUAAGAAUGCAGAGUAGAGGGUGGAAAGUCCCUGGGUCCUAGAUGACAUUGGUAAGCUUCCAAACUAACCCAGGGACUGCCAGCUGUUGGGCUUUUUAUGAAGUAAAAUAGAAAUGUUCUUAUAUUUGAAACCACUGUCCAUAGGAUUCCUGUUACCCAUUGCCAAACACAUCGUGACUUACACAGAGAAAAAGCAUAUUUACAUGAUAAACAAGUUAAAGAAAAUGGAAAAUUACCAACAAAGCUAGGUUUUUCUAAGGAAUAUAUAUAUGUAUAAAAUAAAGGAAUUUACCUGCAGAGAGUUAACUGUUCAAAGUCUUAAGAUAUGAAUUGUGUUUCCUUUACUGAACCCACGCAUCAAAAUAAUUGUCCUUCCUGCAGCAUUUUGCUUUAUUGUUGCUUUGACAUUACUUUAUGACUACAGCCCUCAUUGUUCAGCAGUGCGAUAAAGCAGACAUUUCAAUUCCAUCAUUCACUUCCAGAAAAUCAGACUUUACAAGACACAGACUUAGGUACAUUAAAAAUAUAAGGAGCUUGGAGAACCUUAUAUUCAGAACUUUUCAAAAUACUAUUCUGCUUGCUCUGAUGCUCACAAACUGUGUUUAACCUAUGGGAGCAACAGGUAAAUUCUGUUGGGUCGAACACUCAGUGAAACCUCUUCUAAUUUUUAAAAAGGAAAGCUGUAUGUUCCCCACACAUUAAAGACCUACUAGCUCAGGAGACAGUCCAUCUGGAAACCAUAUGCCCGAUUCCCCAAGACAAACUGCAGAUCUGUGCUUCUGCCAGAGAAGUGCACUGGACUCUGGGCAGUUGUUCUAAUACUGACCGUGCUGACCACCUGCUACAGAUGUCUGUUAGGAACAAUUGCAGACUUAUUUUCAUUGCUCUUUCCUGCCUUUAUUAACCUCCUAACUAUUUUCCUCUGUCCCACUCAUCUGUGUCUGGUGCUGCCAGCCAAGUCCAGGCCUUCAUCUUUUCUCCUAGUUGGUUCCCUGCCGCCCAUCAAAACCAUCUUGCACACAGGAAGCAAGCCCUUUUCUAAUGUAACUGAGCAAGGGCUCACGUGGCCGCAGUGCAGAAAGCCCAACUCAUAGUGGGUGUUUGCAGCAAAGUAAGGGCUUAUUUGCAGGGUAUCAGGCAAGAGAGUGGGAGACAAGCCUCAGGUCCACUCUGUCUUGGACUUUGAGUUAGGGAUGUUUUAAAGGGGAAGAACAAAGAAACUGGGAUUAAUCAUCGUUUUGUGACAUUUCUGACGAGACGUGAUGGGGCGCAUUCAGGGUGGUAUGGCCGUGGAUUUGUGACAUUUCCUAAUCGUGGUUUUAGGAGCCAGGAUGUCUGCGGUUUACCAUUCCCUGGCCAGGUGGUCCGUGGCUCCGGGGUCUGUGAGCUCAACUUGCCCCAGAGAAACAACCCGAGUUUGUACGUUAAUGAUAAGAUCUACUACAACUUUAGUACAUUAACGACGUUAUCGAUACAGCAAUCUCAGGCAUCUGACUCUGGUUGGUUAGUGUUCAGUUAGCACAGGAUGGAGAUUGGAGGAGACAAGAAAGGAAUUGAGGUCAGAGGAGACAAGCAAGGCAAUAAAGUUUGGGAUAGAGAGAUUAAUCAUGAACUCAGCAGGGGAACUCAGUUUUAGGGAGACUCGGUUUCACUAAUACAAUUCCAGGAGAGUUCCACCUCUGGAGAAACGGAGUAGACAGACUUUUCCAUGUUACUCUGUCUAAGCACAACUUAAGCUGGAAAAACCAACAGGUGCUGACAAAACAUGCUGCCCCAACAAAAGCCUGCCGCCUGUAACCAAAGGACCAGGGAAGGGGCAGCCCAGCAAGACAGCCUUUAGACAGCAACCACUGUCUCCAUCAUUUACUCCUGCAAAGGCUCUUGAUCUAAACCCCAGUGAGCCUGGAUGUGAUUAAUUGGAGAAGACACCAGGGCUGGAUUGCCCCACAACCUUGGCACUGGAAUCAGAGUCAUUUGGUACAACUUUUCAACAAAUUGCAAAAGAGAAAGUGCUUUAUAGUACUCUGGGAAAGAGCACCACCUAGUGAUGAACCAAAAGCAAAAAAAUGUAAACGUAAAUACUGUGCUUCCAAGCCCUCGGUCAAAGCCAAGUCAAUGUGGGUUGUUAAAUCACUACCCGAUCCCAACCUGGGGAGGCAGGCGGGGGUGUGCAGUCAGGAGAAGGGACUGAUGAAGCCCAGAUGGAAUGUGCUAGAAUGUUGCAGUUCAAAGCUGGGCUCAUCCCUCUUGGGAUGGGAAAAGGCUGUAUGAGAUGUGUCACCCAGUGUGGGGCUCAGAGAAAUCCAAGGUGUGGCUGGGUUUCUGGAGAGGAAAAAAAAUACGGGGGAAGGUAUAGGCAGAAAGAGAGGUGGGAAACUAUGGCCAACAUUUUGCUGGAUGUUUCCAUACGUUGUUUCAUUAGUCCUCACAACCAGACAUCUAGAGGAGUAAAGGCUUGUAUUUGUCCCGUUUGACAGAUGGGACAGCUGAGGCACAGAGAUUCAAUAACAGCACAGAUAAGGAGGGGUAAUCAACUCGGAUGAAGUUAGCUGAUUUCAGAGUCCACUCAAAUGUACACAACAGGCUUCCCUUAGGGACAUAUGCAAAAAUAGAAACCUUUGGCAAAAUAAUGGUCCAACUACGGCGAAGCGUGUGACCUAGAAUACGUUUAAUUUCAUCAGACUGAUACUUAGAUAAAAUGUCCUGUAUUUGGGACAUCCUUAUUUUCUGCCCGCAGACCCUUGAACUGCAAUAAGUCUCCCUCUCAGCAGAAGAAACCUUAGAUACAGAGGAAGGGGAUUUUGGUUUUGGUCCUGGGAAAUAAAUGCUGAAUAUAGCCAAGCAAUCCAAUAAGUUUGAGUAGUGCUUCUGCCCCAGACAGAGGAAUAGCCAAACGGUAAUGACGGCAGGUUUGGAGGCAAGGUAAGAGGGGCUGCAGUGUCCCCAGAGUCUUUCCUAAUAAGGAAAACCAGGCUGUCCAAGGCCACGUGCAGAAGGCAUGGAAAAGUUAGAUGUGUCUUGGCAAACAAGUGUUUUCAGAGGCCCAUUCUGGGAGCAGGGCUCAGCAGUGAUGUAGGACUGAGGGGGAGCCAUGUGGUGGUACCUGCUAGUUACAUUCCCAGUAAGACCACAGGCAGAAGCCCCGAUGCAUAGAAGGGGACCAAGCUGCUAGAAGAAGGGACAGGUGAGGGCCAGGAAGUGUUUGCAGGCCUCAGACAUUGGAAAAAGGGAAUGAGUAAUACAUACAGGAUCAACGCGAGCAGACACAUGUGCUUGUUGUGGGAAGGAAUCUUACUAGAAGGCAUUAAAAUGAGGUAAGUAUUUAAUAAGUUUUUAAAGGAUAAACCACGGUAUGGCGUUGACCAAGGCAUUUUUCUAAGCUCCACUACGUACUUGACUUCAGCCUUGGCCUUUGAAAAACUGGAGUCAAGUGCUAUCUUCACUGUCAUUUGGGCCAUCCCUGACCUCGUGCUGGAGAAGUGAUUGUGUAACAGCUAAGGUUACCACCAUAUUCAACUGGAGUAAUGACGUCAGCCAUAUAAUCAAGGCGUGUUGUUCAGAUUAAUUUGAAACUCUAGAGAGUUCCUAGAUAUAGCAUGGGGUGACAAUCUUCCUAUGUUCUGUGUUCACUGAAAUUCUAUCAGUUAGUUGUAUAAAUGCAUAUUCAUUAUACAAGAAGUUUAAAGGAGCUAAAUACAUCUCCCUUAUUAAAUAUCAUUAUUUAAAUUCUUAUAAACAUUUAUUGACUCAAAAGAAUACAACAGUCUUCUUAAAGUUACCUACUUAAUAUUGUUAUAACUUUCAACCUAUCUUCAAAUGUAUUUAACCUUUUAAAAGUUCUUAAUAAUUAUCUUUGUACAUAAGAUGCAUGAUUAAAAUUAACUUUCACAAUCACCAUUAAAUAUUAUGGUAUUUAACCCUUGCAGUAAUAAGUACACACUUAUACUUCAAUUGACAAUGACAGUUGUCAUGAGGUAUAGCAAUGACCUCAUCAGUAAUCUAGCAGCUGACAUGCUGAGAAAUUAUUAUAAUAUGAAGUAUUUAACAUUACUUUAAAUUUAAAUUUGAACAACUGCUGAAUGUUUUAAUAAGAGAAUAGUUUAAUUUAUUUUGAAUAAAACUUCAGAUUUAUUCUUGAAUUUCAAAGGUUCCUUCUGUGAUGGUGCUAUUUGUUGUUGACCAAGCAUUGAUCAUAACAAUUGGCUAUUAGGCAUUCAACUACAGUGUGCAUUGAUUGCAUUUCUAAAGUCUUUAGAAAGUGACUAAUAGAAUUAUCAUCAUAUUUCUUGGUAUCCUGUGAAUAUUCAUCGACAUCUUAACACUUAUUACAAUUACCAGUUAUAGAAUCCUUAAUAUAUGUAUUUGUGUGUGUGACAGACACCUGUUAAAUACCCACCAAGCCCAUUUCCUCCUCUUCCUUGGCACGGAGGUCAGCUACAUGGUCCUGCUUCUCUUACAGUCAGAUGCGGUGCGUGGCUGAGCAGAGAAUGGUGUGUGGGCAGAGGGGAUGUAUAGCACUUCCAGGCUGGGCCCAUUACCACCUUUCUCAUUCUCUUUGCCAUCUGCCCACCGGUGGAGCAGAAGGCAGGAGCAUGCAUGCUGGCCUGUGUGAUGUAAGCCCUGGAGAAGUGGGAGUCUGUCUGUCAGAACAGCUAGUGCUACUCUUACUAAUAGUCUUCUAAAGAAAUUUCAAGAAAUGUUUGAAAAUAACUCAGGAAGCCAUUAAAUGUCUAGAAGCAUCUAAGUUAUAACUUUGCACACUCCUUUAUAAAUUUAAAGGUCACGUCUGGGCUGAUUGGGGAUGGGUACUCUUAGGCAAGAUGCUGGCAUGAGCAAAGUUCCUCCUCUAAAAUUGCACCAAAAUGACUCAUGGGACAGACUUAUGGGGAAAAAAAUCCAGAUUAGUGCUGGAAAUCUGGAGGCCACUCAAAGGCCAGAAAUAUGGGAGGAUUUCUGGUAGAUGUAGCACUGAUGUGUUACCAUCACAUUGAGUAACAGUGACUCAUAGUAUGUGGUCAUAAAGUGACUUUCUUUUUGUCCCCAACUGUGUCAUUAUAUUGGCCUGGUGGACUUGUUUUUUUCCUUGCCCCUGGACCAAAAUGCUGGCCCCAUGACCAUUUAAAAAAAAAUUCUUAGGUAAUAAAAAGUCAUAAAAUCACUUGAAGUCAGAACAUAGGCGCUAUUGUAAAUGUCCAGUCCUGUGUCAUAAAACUCUGAUUUAAAGUUGGGACUUUGCCUCCUUCAGCACAAGCCUGUAGGAAGCCAGCAGCCCACAGUGAAAGAAAGGUGGGAAGCCGGUGGGUGUUAGGUUUCCCUCCUUGUUCUUGCGUUUCUCCUUUUCUAGCAAGCGCAUUGUGGCUUCAGACUUCUCCAGGGAUCGAGCUGCGGGAAUGUGGAGGUUCUGGUACUGUUCGUGGUGGUGGAGUGGGGGGAUUCGUGGGGGGGGGGUGUCUUACCUGACCACCACUGUCUUGCCUGGCCGUUGUUUAAAGUGGACUCUUUAUCUCCUGGUUUUGGAGACCAUCCUGAUGCUGAGGAUUUCUCACUUGGAGUUCAGUCUGAAAACCGAGGGACUGCAUCGUGUUCCAGGGACACAAGAAAAGAAACCCAAAUCUCUGCCUUGGACUUGAAAAGUUGAGGCUGAAUCUAAAAGAAAACCAGGCCAAUGGAAACUCAAAAUUUAACAAAAUGGACAUUAUGUCCCAAAGACCAGACCUUUAAACACAACUUCCAAAGUGCGAUCACAGAGAUAUUUGUUCUUCAUUUAGCACGAAUAGAUGAAAAUCUUCUUCCAUGUGAUCAGAAAAGUUGGAGUCACGCAGACAUAGAAAAAAAACUUAUGGUUACUAAAGGGAAAGGGUGGGGAGGAUAAAUUAGGAGUUUGGGAUGAACAGAUACACACUACUAUAUAUAAAAUAGAUAAACAACAAGGACCUAUUGUAUAGCACAGGAAACUAUACUCAAUAUCUUGUAAUAACGUAUAAUGGAAAAGAAUCUGAAAAAGUUAUAUAUUUGUGUGUGUGUGUGUAUAUAUAUAUAUAUUUAUUUACAUAUAUAACUGAAUCACUUUGCUGUAUACCUGAAACAAACACAAUAUUGUAAAUCAGUUAUACUUCUGGGGACUUCCCUGGUGGUCCAGUGGUUAAGAAUCCGCCCUCCAGUGCAGGGGAUGUGCGUUCGAUCCCUGUUUGGGGAGCUAAGAUCCCACAUGCCGCGGGGCAACUAAGCCCGUGUGCCGCAACCACCGAGCCCGUGCACUGUGGAGCCCACGCGCCACGACUAGAGAGAAGCCUGCGUGCUGCAAUGAAUAUCCCGUGUCCCGCAACUAAGACCCGACACAGCCAAAUAAAUUAAUUAAUUUAAAAAAAAGUUGGAGUCAGAAUAAAAUGUCACACAGUUACCUUAAACAAUGUAUUUUAUUUAUUAUUAUUUUAUUUAUUAAUUUAUUAAUUUUUGGCUGCGUUGGGUCUUUGUUGCUGCACGCAGGCUUUCUCUAGUUGCGGUGAGCGGGGGCUACUCUUCGUUGUGGUGCACGGGCUUCUCAUUGAGGUGGCUUCUCUUGUUGCGGAGCACAGGAUCUAGGCAUGCGGGCUUCAGUAGUUGUGGUGCACGGGCUCAGUAGUUGUGGCUCGCGGGCUCUAGAGCAGAGGCUCAGUAGCUGUGGCGCACCGGCUUAGUUGCUCUGCGGCAUGUGGGAUCUUCCCGGACCAGGGCUUGAACCCGUGUCCCCUGCAUUGGCAGGCGGAUUCUUAACCACUGCACCACCAGGGAAGUCCCAACAAUGCAUUUUAAUUUAAACAAGCAAAUGCAUAUUCAUUCAAUACUUUUCGAAUGAAGAGACAGAAUUGAUGCGUGGCCUGUGAUUUCCAUUUUCAGUUCUCUGAAGUGGAGUGGGAACUUAGACACCUAAACAGCAAUCUGAUCCUUUAUCUGUUUCAUGAUUUUCCCGAUGUUGUGUACUUGUUUUGCCCACAUCUAAUUGAACAGCGAUUGUUUUUAGUGGCUCACCUUUAUUGUCUUCGUAAAGCAUUCGAUUUAGUUUUCAUUAAAAUAACUUCCUUUCUUUUCACACUCAUUUUGUCAGUUUACAGAAUACUUAAUUAAAUUACAUAAUUUCAAUAACUAGUAAAUAAGUAAGACUAGAAGUGAAUCUGUUUUGGGAGCAAAUACACCUGACUCCUGGUAAAGUGACUCAAACUGUUGGGGGCAGUGGUGAGUGCUCUGGCCUGAUCAUUUGUGGGCCAUGGGCAUCCGUCCCAAUGCUCUACAGACGAACAGGAGAAUGUCUGUUAAUCUAGAAAGUUGUUGAAAUAGACUGUCUAUUAAAAAGCUUCUACUGUAUUUCUUCUGCCUGAACCAGCAUGGUAUAGUGGAAAAAGCAUGGAUCUUGCGGUCAAACAGACCUAGGUUUAAAUCUUGUAUUGUUUCUAGUUCAGUGACUUUAGGAAAAUUACUUAAUGUCUCUGAAUCUCAAUUUCUUUAUUUGUAACAAUUGGUAAACUAUUCAUGAGAGUUCAACAAAAUCAAUUAGGGGAAUUGCCUAGUGGCGCAGUGGUUAAGAAUCCACCUACCAAUGCAGGGGGCACGGGUUCGAUCCCUGGUCAGGGAAGUAAGAUCCCACAUGCCACGUGGUGUGGCAAAAAAAAAACAUAAACAAAACCAAUUAGUAAAGAUUCUGGUAUGUAGGUGCUCAGUAAACAAUAGCUGCUGCUGCUGUUGUUGUUAUUUUUUUAUUAUUAUGUGUGGUUGUUUACCUGUUGGUCUUCAUCUAACCAAAAAUCUGGUUUUGUUGUGCCGGUUAGAUGUCUUCCAUUUCAUCCCUAGCUGGGCUGGCCACACUGCGAAAUGAGUCUGAUUCCUGGGUCUGCAGCCAGCUGGCAUUGUCAUCAUCCUCUGGACUUCCAUGACUCAGCUACUGUGACUGACUAUGUGGUGGUUACAGACAGUGGGGGAGAAGGACUCUCACCAUCUUCCCGUCCCGCGUGCCGGUACAUCAGAAGGACCCCCGCUGAAGUUAUUUGUCUUGCUACUAAUUGGAAGUUCAUCAGACCAAGCUUCAGGCCAGGACUGUAUUGAGGCUGAGAAGACUUGAACAUGGAAGGGCUGGGGUAGCAUCAUAUGCAACGGGCCAACUGUGCCCAGAGCAUCACCCACCUGGCGCCUGGACCUCUCUGAUCUCCUUCUGAGCCCUUCUUGGUCCCUCAUUCUAUUCCUCAACCUUGCUUUUCGUGAUCUGGCAUCUCUUUGCCGACUAACUCACUUGGUUUGACGUUUUUGUUAAUAGUUUUACCUCUAGGACAGUGGUUCUCAACUGGGAUGACUUGGCACCCAAGAAACAUUUGGCCACGCUUGAGGCAUUUUUAUUGUCACGAGUGGAGGUGGGUGAGGGCUACCGGCAUCUAGUGUGGAGUGGCCGGGCGGCAGGUGAAUAGCCUACAAUAUACAGGACAGCCCUCACAGCGGGAGGGUUAUCUGGUCCAAAGUGUCAGCAGCGCUGAGGUUGAGGUUGAACCCCCUGCUCUCUAGGUUCUGGCCUUUGACCCCAGUCUCCAGUCUUUGAGUGGCCUCAGGCCUUCCUGUCAGCACCCCCAGACACCACUAUCCUUCCUGGGUGACAGGCUCCGCAGGACUAUGACGGAGCUCCCGAGGGUGAGGGCAAUGGCUCGUUCUACCCCGAGCUCACAGCAAGCUCAGCAGCCAGAGGACAGUCCGUGCAGGUUGUUUAAUGAGCAACAGUAGAACGUGAAGUUUAAAGCACUCGUUGAAAUCCAUUCUCAACUACCCUCCAACUCAAUUAAUAGUGGCAGCUGCUACCGAAAGCAAGAUUAUGAAAUCCCCGAAGCCUGGCGCAGAGGUGGAAAGGCUCUUGUUCUGGGCGCGCUGGGCAGGUUUGGUCGCUUUUCCCAUCAGGAAAUACAGAAGAGGGACUGAGGAGAAAUAAGAGCUGCCUCGGGCUUUAACAGUGUCGGGCUUGAUCCUUCCCAGUUUUGCUCCCCCCUCACGGCCUUGGAGAAAGGGGGUCAGGGGGUGAAUGCAGCUUGUUCAUUGAGGGUGAACUUGGACACCAGAGCCCACUUCUCUUUUUUUGGCCACGCCGCUUGGCAUGUGGGAUCUUAGUUCCCUGACCAGCGAUUGAACUGUGCCCCCUGCAGUGGAAGCCUGGAGUCCUAACCACUGGACCGCCAGGGAAGUCCUCAGAGCCCACUUUUCGUCACCACGUUUCUGAAGGUGUGGGCACCAGCUGGUCUUAAAGGGAGCGUGGUGAGGAAGCAUGAACCAGGCCGCCCUGGAUGCUGCAUGACUGGUCAAAGGAGCAUUCACCCGGAACAGGGGCCGGGGGCCAACAGCCUGGGCAGGGGUGGGGGGGUCUGUGGCUGAGAGCCAGUCGGGGUGAGGCUGAAACAGACAUGUCUCCUUUACGAAAACUCGCCAUAUGUGGGGACCAUUAAAAUGCAGUUGAGUCAGGCCAAGAGAGACCGCACUUCUCCCUCGGCCCCUUGUGGCUGGAGCUGGCGUCGCUAGGACCUGGGGCCAGGUGGCACCUAGGUGGGAGCCCUCCGAGAAGGGCCAUCCCUCCGGAGUGCAGACUCCCCUUCCUCUCCCUGCAGGUGGGUGCAGCCAGCCUCUGAAGGAGAGGGGAGGGCCAGCGGGAGUCCCAGGUGGGAAGGAGACUCUGUGAUUGCGAUGAUAAACUCCACAAUGGCUGACAUUUUGAUAACCAGAUUGGCUUACAGAAACUACUGACCUGCUGUAUUAGUUUGCUUGGGUUGCCGUAGCAAAACACCACAGACCGGGUGGCUUAAACAGCAGAGGUUUAUUUCCUCACAGUUCUGGAGGCUGGGAGUCUGAGAUCAAGGUGCUGGCAGAGUUGGUUUCUUCUUAGGUCUCUCGCCUUGGCUUGUAGACGGCCUGCUGCUUGCUGUGUCUUCACGUGGCCUGUGUCCUCACCCCUUUUUAUAAGGACACCAGUCACACUAGUUUAGGGCUCACCCCAGUGGUCUUGUUUUACCUUAACUACCUUUUAAAGGCUCUGUCUCCAUACGUUUGUUUUCUAAGCCUGGGAGUCUGUUUCUGUUUUGUAAGUUCAUUUGUAUCAUUUUUUUUAGAUUCCACAUAUAAGUGAUGUCAUAUGAUAUUUGUCUUUCUCUGUCUGACUUGCUUAGUAUGGCGGGGCAGGGAGGGAUAGACUGGGAGUUUGGGGUUAACAUAAACACACUACUAUAUAUAAAAUAGAUAACCGACAAGGACCUACUGUGUAGCACAGGGAACUCUACUCAAUAUUCUGUAAUAACCUAUAUGGGAAAAGAAUCUGAAAAAGAAUGGAUAAAUGUAUAUGUAUAACUGAAUCACUUUGCUGUACACCUGAAAGUAACAACAUUGUACAUCAACUAUACUCCAAUAUAAAAUAAAAAUUAAAUUAAAAAUAAAUUAAAAAAAAUUUAAAAGUGCCUG